UGUGAGAGAGAGAGAGAGAGAGAGAGAGAGAGAGAGAGAGAGGGGAGAGAGAGACCAGGAAGUCUUUAAAAUGCCUUAAUAAAUACCACAAGCAAUUUAUUAAAAAAAAAAAUGUACAUGGAGCCUAGCCAGACCUCUCUGGAAUUCCAAUUAACUUCUGUAAGAUUCACAGGUCUGUUCUACCAUUCUAAGAUUAAGAAUAAGCUCUGACCUGAUUGUACUGCAGGUGUGGCUGUUGUGUUACAUGUGUAGGUGGCAGAGAGAAGAGAGGCUGUGGCUACACUCAGUGUUCCAACUUAGGAACAUUGGAAUUAUUGGCAGCCUAACACUGCUUGAAAAAAAAAAAGUGAGCCUGAGAUGACCACCAGUCCAGCACUGCACAGGCUUGGGGGCAGACCAUGCCCCAGGUGACCCCUGCCUAGCACCAUAAUGCACAGGCAGGGCAUACCACUCCUGAGACCACUUCUGAGAGACCCUGGAAGCCAUGAAGAAGAGAUAGUAAGCGGUGGAGAAAUGGAAAAGAAAGAGAAACAGAAGGAUGUGGGCAUAAUGAAGAGAGGCAGGACUGGAGGGUGGUAGGUGAGGAACAGCACGAUGUGAGUAAUCAGUGAUGCCACCCGGAACUAUGGUGGGGUCCUGGUCUGUGCUGCCACAGGAGUCACCUAUGGAUCUAUUACCAUGCAGCAGUGUAGGUCUGCCGCCACCGAAGGUCAGGCGGACAUCCCUGGUCUGGGCUGCCACCAGGAUAGAUGCUGUGCAGAUAUGUGGUAGAUGUACCAUAGAUGUGAGGGUUAGAGGUGAGCCAGCCCGAGGGCAUGAACGUGGGAGAGCUGGCCCUGCCAGAGUGGUGGCUUGGUUGAGAGAGAGACCUCCUCCCUCCCUCAACAUCUAUGGCAGGCAGGAGAGCUGGUCCCAGGGUCAUGAGAGUGGGAGAACUGGACAUGUCCCUCACCAGCUGCAGCACUUGGAAGAGCAGGUGCUGGACCUCAUCUGGGCAGCAGGGAAGAGCUGACCCUGGUUACAGAAGUUGUAGGUGAGUGGGCCCCAGAGGGCAUGAGAGCAGGAAAGCCAGCAGGCUAACCACCUCAGAUACCUCUCAGGCCCAGAUCCAGGACUUUGAAUUGGACCAUUCCAACAUCUACGCCGUCAGUGAACUGCUGAGUGCAUCAAGGGGCCUGUCCUACAAAUCCAAAACUACAGGAUCCUCAUGACACAGGGCAACAACAGGAUACCUGAGAGGAGUCCCAGUGAGGAUCCAAUAUUGCUAGAGUAGCAGAAGCCAGAGUCCUCGUACCAGACCAAUGAGUCGUUGCAAGGGACAUUUGCAAGCAAAAAAGUGUGGACAAAAGAGUAUAGUGUGGGACACAUUGUGUCCCACUAUGGCUUCCACAAUGAGAUUUUAUUUUCUCUGUUGAGGCGGGAGGUGGGGGGCUUACAAGGGUGGUGGGUGAGUAGGAGAUGGGGAGACUAGUGGGACUGGGGGUGCCUGAUAUGAAAUUCACAAAGAAACAUUGGCUUGGCUUGGUUUUUUUUGAGGGUGGAGUAGAGGGGAAAUUCAGCUCUAAAACUGUUUCGAGGCUGUUGGUCUUAUGCCCAUCUUCCUUGGUAAGUGCUGCCCUCACCUUUGUUGGAGAAUCUGCUUCAGGCAGUGAGCAGAGAGUGAUGCAGUCUCGUACCUGGUCAAAGAGCUCAGUUCUACAUGCACAUCAUCAACAUCAGCCCCUACUCUGCCUGAGGCUCAGGGAACACCACAGAAAGAUUCGACAGAAAGAACGAAAGAGUCAGAAUGAAAUGCUGUGCAUGCUGCCUUCUGGUCAUACAACUGCACUCGUGAACGCAUCCAUAGUUAACCUGCUCACGGUAGACACUCCAGCGUGGGGUUCCCAAGGCCCUACCUCCGGCUGGAGAGCUUCUGACAGCUAUGGGGGAGGGAGAGUCCACUUUCUUCAGGGGAAUGGCUGCUGGUAAGUAGACCGUGCUGUGGUGGAAGCCUCACACCCAUUCGCCUAAGGACAGCAGUCAUUGGAUUUAGCAAAUUAAAAAAAAAAAAAAGUCAAGGGUGGGAGGGGGAUGUUACCUGGGUUCUUGGAGAGAGCAUGGAAGAAGGGGAAUAUGAUCUGUGUGCCUGUAUGAAACUGUGAAACAGUAAAACCAUCGUGGGAACUUUACGUCAUUUCUCAAUGGUAACAGAAUCUCAGAUACGUUGCCUUCACAUCCACCCCUGCUGAUAAAACCAAAGAAGCAGUGAAGGCUGAGGCCACACGGAGGGAAGGUUUUAUAGCCACAUUCCAACACUUGCUUCCAAAGCUGUUAAGAAUAUGAUGGCAUUCCUUACGUCCAUGCCCAGAACUUAAUAAAAGUUUACAAACGUUCCUGCGCACAAGCUACAUUUACAGGAGCAGAAACAUCUUCAAAGGCAACAUGACUCUUCAGAAGCCACAAACGUAAAAUGAGAAAACAAAGGUGUCGAUAUUAUAAAUUUAAAUGGUUUCAUAAACGUUUGAUGAAAGCCAAUUCCCAAGCCUGGAAUCUCUCCAUGCACCUAGUCCCAGAUCUCAACAUUUACAGAUCACUAGGGGGCGGGGAGACAGUGCAGCAGUUAAAAGUGCUUGCUGCCUUUCCGGUGAACCAGAGUUCGGUUCCUACCACCCACAUCAGGUGGCUCACAUCUACCUGGAACUCCAGCCCCAAGGGAUCUGACCCCCUGUUAUGGUUUCACUGGAGACUUGGACACACACACAUAGCAUCUGCUCACAGAUAUGCACACAUGCACAUAAAUAAAAAUAAAUAUCUGAGAAGUUAAGUUAAGGAAAAUUUAUGGACAGAAUUUUAUAUUAUAUAACAUUGACUAUUAUAUUAAUUGACUAUAACGUCACAAACAGGAGCACUAUGCCAUUAUAUAAAUAGUCAAUAUUGACAGUUAUAUGAGGAAAAAUGAACAGGGAACAGAAUAGAUGUUGAAUCUGUUCUUUUGAAGACAUGUGCUACUGGACCAGGAAAAUCGCCAGUGUCUACUCCCAGAGAAAUAGAAAUUCAUACUCAUUAACACAGAAUCAUUGACAGAAGCUUUUAACAAAGUAGGUGAAAGGCUUGUACAACCUGACAUCUGAAAGAUACAAAUAUCACCCCGGCCACUUUGUAAAUGCAACAAGAAAACUAUCUUUAAAAUGGCUUUUGCCACUUUUGCUGGACUGAUAAAACUAAUAUUGGAGUAAUCACCACUAGGUGAUCUGUGACAGGAAGUGACACAGAGAACACCCACAGAACUUCCUUGCUAUAAAUAUUUGGCCUCAGCUAAGCAAAGCUUGUGGGUCUAACUCAAAUCCUCGAGAAAGGAAGUGGGCAGGGAAAAUUAAGUUAAGCCACUCUAUGACUUCCCAAUCCCAGAGAUAAAGAAGAUCUGGGAACCAAGGAGCUUGGCCUCUUAUGAGAUGUCAAAGUCAAGACAGAAACAAUGAGAGGAGACAGGGAAAUGUCCUAGGUAAAAGGAUACUAAAGAGACACAACACUCCAGGGCUAACAUUAAACUCUGGGCUGAUUGCUGCUUCGAGGGCUCUUUAGGAAAACACUGUUCUUAAGAGAAAUACUGUAAACGUUUAGGGGUGAGGGGUCGUGGUGUGUGCACCUUACUUCUAAAGGACUGGAGGACAGGAAUAUAAACUGAGAUAAAGCUCAGUCAGCAAAAGACUAACAGGGAACCUGGACUCCCUGUAGUAUUUCUCGUGCACGUCAGUAUUGGCUUGCAAUUCU
rnacentral:sRNA from 1 species